AUGAACGCUGGCGGCGUGCCUAAUACAUGCAAGUCGAGCGAACAGAUGAGGAGCUUGCUCCUCUGACGUUAGCGGCGGACGGGUGAGUAACACGUGGAUAACCUACCUAUAAGACUGGGAUAACUUCGAGAAACCGGAGCUAAUACCGGAUAAUAUAUUGAACCGCAUGGUUCAAUAGUGAAAGACGGUUUUGCUGUCACUUAUAGAUGGAUCCGCGCCGCAUUAGCUAGUUGGUAAGGUAACGGCUUACCAAGGCAACGAUGCGUAGCCGACCUGAGAGGGUGAUCGGCCACACUGGAACUGAGACACGGUCCAGACUCCUACGGGAGGCAGCAGUAGGGAAUCUUCCGCAAUGGGCGAAAGCCUGACGGAGCAACGCCGCGUGAGUGAUGAAGGUCUUCGGAUCGUAAAACUCUGUUAUUAGGGAAGAACAAAUGUGUAAGUAACUAUGCACGUCUUGACGGUACCUAAUCAGAAAGCCACGGCUAACUACGUG
rnacentral:rRNA from 1 species